rnacentral:rRNA from 1 species
AGCUGAGUUUGAUCCUGGCUCAGAUUGAACGCUGGCGGCAUGCCUUACACAUGCAAGUCGAACGGUAACGGGUUAAGCCGACGAGUGGCGAACGGGUGAGUAAUAUAUCGGAACGUGCCCAGUCGUGGGGGAUAACGUAGAGAAAUUUACGCUAAUACCGCAUACGAUCUAAGGAUGAAAGCGGGGGACCUUCGGGCCUCGCGCGAUUGGAGCGGCUGAUAUCAGAUUAGCUUGUUGGUGAGGUAAAAGCUCACCAAGGCGACGAUCUGUAGCUGGUUUGAGAGAACGACCAGCCACACUGGGACUGAGACACGGCCCAGACUCCGUACGGGAGCAGCAGUGGGGAAUAUUGGGGCAAGUGGGCGCAAGCCUGAUCCAGCAAUGCCGCGUGAGUGAUG